rnacentral:rRNA from 1 species
AUUGAACGCUGGCGGCAUGCCUUACACAUGCAAGUCGAACGGCAGCACGGGUGCUUGCCCCUGGUGGCGAGUGGCGAACGGGUGAGUAAUACAUCGGAACAUGUCCUGUAGUGGGGGAUAGCCCGGCGAAAGCCGGAUUAAUACCGCAUACGAUCUACGGAUGAAAGCGGGGGACCUUCGGGCCUCGCGCUAUAGGGUUGGCCGAUGGCUGAUUAGCUAGUUGGUGGGGUAAGGGCCUACCAAGGCGACGAUCAGUAGCUGGUCUGAGAGGACGACCAGCCACACUGGGACUGAGACACGGCCCAGACUCCUACGGGAGGCAGCAGUGGGGAAUUUUGGACAAUGGGCGAAAGCCUGAUCCAGCAAUGCCGCGUGUGUGAAGAAGGCCUUCGGGUUGUAAAGCACUUUUGUCCGGAAAGAAAACCUUGGCCCUAAUACGGUCGGGGGAUGACGGUACCGGAAGAAUAAGCACCGGCUAACUACGUG